UAAGACAGACGGUCGCAGCUGCAAGUGCCGAAAGGCCGCAGGUGAGGAAAGUCCGGGCUUCAUAGGGCAGGAUGCCGGAUAACGUCCGGUGGAGGCGACUCCAAGGAUAGUGCAACAGAAAUGUACCGCGUUAGCAAUGAGCCAUGCAGAUUGGCGGGGCAAGCGAUUCGAGUUACAAGCAUGGCUCAUGGAUUAUAGAGAGACAAGUCUUCAUGGCUCAUUGCUGACGUAAGGGUGGAAGGGCAGUGUAAGAGACUACCGCCUUGCCGGUAACGGCAGGGGCAUAUGUAAACCCCAUCCGAAGCAAAACCGAAUGAAAACGAUGUGGCGGCCCGUCACGUUUUAGGUAGGUUGCUUGAACCUGUCGGCAACGACAGGUCUAGAUAGAUGACCGUCCAACGACAUAACCCGGCUUAUCGUCUUGCUUA
rnacentral:RNase_P_RNA from 1 species